UCACUCUCACCUACCCAGUCUCCAUUGGCGCGGAUCCAAUCGGUGAGGCUGCUGUCAAGACCCUGAUGGUUGAGGAGUAGUGACUGUUCUUGGACCUGGUGGUGUGAGUCCUGAGGCACCAUCGACCUGAGAGCAUGGCCUGGGUGGUGAGGAUCUUUGAUGGAUGCUGCUUCCCCGCGGGACAUAUUCAGAGGGACAUAUGUAUGCAGUUUCAGUGAACAGAUGGUGGAUGCAGGGUCGGAGUUGAGGAACGAAGACACUUGAAAUCGUUACACUGUUGUUGACCGCGCAGGAUUCGGGAACAUUUCACAGCUCCUAGGAACGCCUCCUGCAGACUUUGCAAUGUGAUCUGGCGGAGAAAUGGGGCCUUUCUAUACAAAUAGGCAAAAUAAAAC